AUGAAGGACGUUACUAACGACGAUAUGCUUUGGGGAGCUGUAAGUAAGCUUUGAUCCAGAGAUUUCCGAAUGGGGAAACCCAGCAUGAGUUAUGUCAUGUUAUCGAUAUGUGAAUACAUAGCAUAUCAGAAGGCACACCCGGAGAACUGAAACAUCUUAGUACCCGGAGGAAGAGAAAGAAAAUUCGAUUCCCUUAGUAGCGGCGAGCGAAACGGGAAGAGCCCAAACCAACAAGCUUGCUUGUUGGGGUUGUAGGACACUCUAUACGGAGUUACAAAGGACGACAUUAGACGAAUCAUCUGGAAAGAUGAAUCAAAGAAGGUAAUAAUCCUGUAGUCGAAAAUGUUGUCUCUCUUGAGUGGAUCCUGAGUACGACGGAGCACGUGAAAUUCCGUCGGAAUCUGGGAGGACCAUCUCCUAAGGCUAAAUACUCUCUAGUGACCGAUAGUGAACCAGUACCGUGAGGGAAAGGUGAAAAGCACCCCGGAAGGGGAGUGAAAUAGAACCUGAAACCGUGUGCUUACAAGUAGUCAGAGCCCGUUAAUGGGUGAUGGCGUGCCUUUUGUAGAAUGAACCGGCGAGUUACGAUUUGAUGCAAGGUUAAGCAGUAAAUGUGGAGCCGUAGCGAAAGCGAGUCUGAAUAGGGCGUUUAGUAUUUGGUCGUAGACCCGAAACCAGGUGAUCUACCCUUGGUCAGGUUGAAGUUCAGGUAACACUGAAUGGAGGACCGAACCGACUUACGUUGAAAAGUGAGCGGAUGAACUGAGGGUAGCGGAGAAAUUCCAAUCGAACCUGGAGAUAGCUGGUUCUCUCCGAAAUAGCUUUAGGGCUAGCCUCAAGUGAUGAUUAUUGGAGGUAGAGCACUGUUUGGACGAGGGGCCCCUCUCGGGUUACCGAAUUCAGACAAACUCCGAAUGCCAAUUAAUUUAACUUGGGAGUCAGAACAUGGGUGAUAAGGUCCGUGUUCGAAAGGGAAACAGCCCAGACCACCAGCUAAGGUCCCAAAAUAUAUGUUAAGUGGAAAAGGAUGUGGCGUUGCCCAGACAACUAGGAUGUUGGCUUAGAAGCAGCCAUCAUUUAAAGAGUGCGUAAUAGCUCACUAGUCGAGUGACACUGCGCCGAAAAUGUACCGGGGCUAAACAUAUUACCGAAGCUGUGGAUUGUCCUUUGGACAAUGGUAGGAGAGCGUUCUAAGGGCGUUGAAGCAUGAUCGUAAGGACAUGUGGAGCGCUUAGAAGUGAGAAUGCCGGUGUGAGUAGCGAAAGACGGGUGAGAAUCCCGUCCACCGAUUGACUAAGGUUUCCAGAGGAAGGCUCGUCCGCUCUGGGUUAGUCGGGUCCUAAGCUGAGGCCGACAGGCGUAGGCGAUGGAUAACAGGUUGAUAUUCCUGUACCACCUAUAAUCGUUUUAAUCGAUGGGGGGACGCAGUAGG
rnacentral:rRNA from 1 species